rnacentral:lncRNA from 10 species
AGUCUCCUGAGGCCUCCCCAGAAGCCAAGCAGACACCAGCAUCAGGCUUCCCCUGCAGCCUGAAGAACCGUGAGCCAAUUCAGCCUCUUUUCUGUAUCAAGUACACAGUCUCAGAGAGUAAGGCUGCCAGACACAGCUCUGGGAUCUGCUCUGGUCCCCUCGACGGUGGGUGGCCAGUGACCCACCUGGUGAGCCCGGCGGACAGGAUCGUGUCCUUGGGGAUACGGGACUGGCGCCUGUGAGGCAGGGCCCGGCCCGAGGAGCCUCCGGGUCCUGCUGGGUUCUUGGCCUCCGUCCACCAUGCACCUCCCAUCCCCUCAAGCCUCUUCUCCCACACCCCUCCCUCCUCGCCUCUCAGGGCCCCUGUGGCACCUUCGUAGCAUCCCAGCUUAUGUGACCUCAGGUUACACAAGCAGCAGCCUGGGGCACCUCUGGGCUUCUCUGUUAAAUCAUCAGGAGGACCUGGCGGGCUGCACAUAGGCAGACGGUCCACGGAGCCACAGCCGGGACCCGCACAGAACCACUCGGGGCCCAGCCCUAGAUGAGAGCUCAACAGCGAGGAGAGCCCUGACCUGGAGCGACAGCCCGAGGCCCCUGCUGCACUUGAGCUGCAGAGAGGGAGGCCAUGAGCUCCGACAUCACAGAUGGAAGGCCGAGCGCAGUGGCUCACGCCUGGAAUCCCAGCACUGUGGGAGGCCGUAGCAGGCGGAUCGCCUGAGGUCGGUGGGUCACGUGAGGUCAGGAGUUCGAGACCAUCCUGGCCAACAUGACGAAACCCCAUCUCUACUGAAAACACAAAAAUUAGCCAGGCAUGGUGGCAGAUCUCUGUAAUCCCAGCUACUUGGAAGGCGGAAGCGGGAGAAUCACUUGAACCCAGGCGGCAGAAGUUGCAGAGAGCUGAGAUCUUGCCACUGUAUUCCAGCCUGGGUGACAGAGUGAGACUCUAUCUCAAAAAAAUAAAAAAUAAAAUAAAAUAAACACAGAUGGGAAAAUGUCCCCAGCCCCCAAAAUACCACAAUGAAUCCGAAAGCCAAACGAUCUGGGAAAGAAACAUUUCUACAUGUACGCCACAGAGAAUGCUAAUAUCUUCCGUUUACAAAGGGCUUUAUAAAUCAGUAUUAAAAACCGGAAAGGACAUGAACAACUCACAAAAGAAAAAGGCAAAUGGCUACUAAAUACAUGGAAAAAAUGCGGAGCCUCAGCAGUGAAUGAAAACGUGCAGGGUAACAAGCGUCAGAGCUCGGCCCAUGAGGGCACACCAGGGUGGCUGGUUCACAUCCACAGUUGAUGGAGGAAGGAACGGGCGUGAGCCCAUGGCCGUAAAAUCAGUGCAACUCGGCCCGGCGCGGUGGCUCAUGCCUGUAAUCCCAGCACUUUGAGAAGCCAAGGAGGGAGGAUUUCUUGAGUUCAGGAGUUCAAGACCAGCCUGGG